UGGGGGAUAUUGCACAAUGGGGGAAACCCUGAUGCAGCAACGCCGCGUGAGGGAAGAAGGUUUUCGGAUUGUAAACCUCUGUCCCGGGAGAAGAAUAUCGACGGUAUCCCGGGAGGAAGCUCCGGCUAACUACGUGCCAGCAGCCGCGGUAAUACGUAGGGAGCAAGCGUUGUCCGGAUUUACUGGGCGUAAAGGGUGCGUAGGCGGCUAUGCGGGUCAGGCGUGAAAUACAUGGGCUUAACCCAUGAACUGCGCUUGAAACUGUAUGGCUUGAGUGAAGUAGAGGCAGGCGGAAUUCCCGGUGUAGCGGUGAAAUGCGUAGAGAUCGGGAGGAACACCAGUGGCGAAGGCGGCCUGCUGGGCUUUAACUGACGCUGAUGCACGAAAGCAUGGGUAGCAAACAGG
rnacentral:rRNA from 1 species